GACUUGUGACCAGUGAUGGGUGUUGCUUCUGAGAAUGAGGUGGUCCUGAGCCUGGGUCUGCUGUGAGCCACUUGGGUGAGGUCUCGAGUACCUGUCUCUGGCCUUGUCAGGCCCUGCACCUCACUGGGACCCUGCCAUCAAAAAGGAAUCCGACACACAUCUGUACUCCCAUUUCUCUGGAGGCUGAGGCAGGAGCAUGGCAAGUUCAAGCCCAACCUGGACUGCAUACCAAGGCCCUAUCAUAAAAGAAGUCUCAGGAACCUCCGCAGUAUUUUCCGCCGUGGCUGUAUCACGGUCCCCUCCCACCGACUUGGGUUCCAGUUUCCUGCC